CCUACGGGGGGCAGCAGUCGAGAAUCAUUCACAAUGGGGGAAACUCUGAUGGUGCGACGCCGCGUGGGGGAAUGAAGGUCUUCGGAUUGUAAACCCCUGUCAUGUGGGAGCAAAUUAAAAAGAUAGUACCACAAGAGGAAGAGACGGCUAACUCUGUGCCAGCCGCCGCGGUAAUACAGAGGUCUCAUGCGUUGUUCGGAAUCACUGGGCGUAAAGCGUGCGUAGGCUGUUUCGUAAGUCGUGUGUGAAAGGCGCGGGCUCAACCCGCGGACGGCACAUGAUACUGGGAGACUAGAGUAAUGGAAGGGGAACCGGAAUUCUCGGUGUAGCAGUGAAAUGCGUAGAUAUCGAGAGGAACACUCGUGGCGAAGGCGGGUGCCUGGACAUUAACUGACGCUGAGGCACGAAGGCCAGGGGAGCGAAAGGGAUUAGAUACCCUGGUAGUC
rnacentral:rRNA from 1 species